rnacentral:rRNA from 1 species
UACGGAGGGGGGCUAGCGUUGUUCGGAAUUACUGGGCGUAAAGCGCGCGUAGGCGGACCUGCAAGUCGGGGGUGAAAGCCCGAGGCUCAACCUCGGAACUGCCUUCGAUACUGCGGGUCUCGAGUCCGGGAGAGGUGAGUGGAAUUCCUAGUGUAGAGGUGAAAUUCGUAGAUAUCGGGAGGAACACCAGUGGCGAAGGCGGCGACCUGGGCCAAUACUGACGCUGAGGUGCGAAAGCGUGGGGAGCAAACAGG